CUACGGGUGGCUCCAGUGGGGAAUAUUGGACAAUGGGGGAAACCCUGAUCCAGCAAUGCCGCGUGUGUGAAGAAGGCCUGCGGGUUGUAAAGCACUUUCGGUUGGGAGGACUGCUUCUAGCACUAAUAUUGUUGGAAGUUGACGUUACCUUCAGAAGAAGCACCGGCUAACUCCGUGCCAGCAGCCGCGGUUAUACGGAGGGUGCAAGCGGUAAUCGGAAUUACUGGGCGUAAAGCGCGCGUAGGCGGCUAGAUCAGUCGGGUGUGAAAGGCCCGGGCUUAACCUGGGAACUGCAUCCGAUACUGUCUAGCUUGAGUACAGGAGAGGAGAGUGGAAUUCCACAUGUAGCGGUGAAAUGCGUAGAUAUGUGGAGGAACACCAAUGGCGAAGGCAGCUCUCUGGCCUGAUACUGACGCUGAGGUGCGAAAGCGUGGGGAGCAAACAGGAUUAGAUACCCGGGUAGUC
rnacentral:rRNA from 1 species